GACGAACGCUGGCGGCGUGCUUAACACAUGCAAGUCGAACGGGAGUAUCGAAGAAGCUUGCUUUUAAGAUACUUUAGUGGCGGACGGGUGAGUAACGCGUGAGGAGCUGUCCUAUGCAGGGGGACAACAGUUGGAAACGACUGCUAAUACCCCAUAAGCCGAGAGGUAAAAGGAUUUAUCCGGCAGAGGAGGUACUCGCGUCCUAUCAGCUAGUAGGUGAGGUAACGGCUCACCUAGGCGAAGACGGGUAGCCGGCCUGAGAGGGCGAACGGCCACACUGGAACUGAGAUACGGUCCAGACUCCUACGGGAGGCAGCAGUGGGGAAUAUUGGGCAAUGGGGGAAACCCUGACCCAGCGACGCCGCGUGGGUGAAGAAAUCCUUCGGGAUGUAAAGCCCUGUUGUAUGGGAAGAGCAGAAGACGGUACCAUACGAGGAAGCCCCGGCAAACUACGUG
rnacentral:rRNA from 1 species